rnacentral:rRNA from 1 species
UACGUAGGGAGCGAGCGUUGUCCGGAUUCAUUGGGCGUAAAGAGCUCGUAGGCGGCUUGGCAAGUCGGGUGUGAAAACUCCAGGCUCAACCUGGAGACGCCACCCGAUACUGCCAUGGCUAGAGUCCGGUAGGGGACCACGGAAUUCCUGGUGUAGCGGUGAAAUGCGCAGAUAUCAGGAGGAACACCGGUGGCGAAGGCGGGUCUCUGGGCCGAUACUGACGCUGAGGAGCGAAAGCGUGGGGAGCAAACAGG